rnacentral:rRNA from 1 species
UACGUAGGGUGCGAGCGUUAAUCGGAAUUACUGGGCGUAAAGCGUGCGCAGGCGGUUUUGUAAGCCAGAUGUGAAAUCCCCGGGCUUAACCUGGGAACUGCAUUCGAUACUGAGCGGCUAGAGUAUGAGAGAGGGAGGUAGAAUUCCACGUGUAGCGGUGAAAUGCGUAGAUAUGUGGAGGAAUACCGGUGGCGAAGGCGGCCUCCUGGCUUAAUACUGACGCUGAGGUGCGAAAGCGUGGGGAGCAAACAGG